ensembl:lncRNA
GGUCUUUAAUAUAUUCAAUAUUUAGUCGUUUUUUUGUUUUUGUUGUUUAGAAAUAUUGCACAUGUUCAACAUGCCUGUCUAUGAGGGAACACUCGUUCUAAAAUACCAUCUUCAAAGUCUGGACAGCUUUUAUUUUGAAGCACAAUCAUACAAUGUCCACGCACACAUGCGUGACUGGGUGUGUGUACGCAUGUCUGUGUGUUCUGAUUGGUGUGUCGUAUCCGCGUUCGUCCGCGUGUGUGUGUGCGCGCGUGUGUGAGAGAGAGAUUACAUACAUACAUGCAUGCACGUGAGCAUUUUACAAACCUAACCUGUAAGUAUGGUUCUCUAUUACCCGUGGAAAUUAAUAUAUAUUCAUAUAUAUUGAUAUAUCCUGAAUUAUCUAGGUUUGAUAACAGUCAAGACGGUUAAUAAGUCAUGGGGACUACAAAAAUACUGCAUUGAAGCAAGAAAAAUAAAAUAUACUGAAUAUGUGCUUUGGGAACACACACGUACCCACACGCACCACACAAACAAACACACACACACACACACACACACACACACACACACAGACAUACUCACACAUUUGCAAACACACAGACCUAUAUGCACAUAUAUGGAAAUAUAUAUAUAUUUGUUUUUUUUCACACAUCCAACUGUAUACAUAGAAUUAAAAGGAUUCCCGUUGUAAGAACUAACCCCACUCUCCACCCGCGGACAGGAGAGCCCAAAAGUGCUAUUCAAAAAAUAAAAUAAAAAUUGAAAUCUUUGACUUUUUUUUUUUUAGUAAGUUAUGCUCUCAACUUUCUCGAACGAUAGCGCAAACUGCACAUUUCUUUGUCUUUUCUUUUUUCAAUGUUCUUUUCAUAUCAGUGGAACACAAGCCUUCGCAGGAACCAACCGAACCCCCCGGUAUCCUGACGGAAACUAACGAACAAAGAGAUUAAAACAACGUCCUAUUGCACCAUUUUAGGGGAGGGUGGGGAGAGGUAAAGGGAGGAGGGGGAGGGAAGAAAGGCCUUAACGGGACCAGAGAAAGGGGAGAGAGGGAGGGGGAGGGAGGGAGGGAGGAAGGGGUGGUGAACAUAGGGGAGAGGAGACACGGGGGGGGGGGAAGAGGGUUAAGGGAGGAGGGGACAAGGGGGAGGGAGAGAGUUUAAAGUGACAGAGGGGGGAGGUUUCGAAAAACAUACAGAACAAGGCUAUCAUCAUCAUCGUCAUUAUUAUUAUUAGUUUUCUACUAAAACAAUCUCUAAAAACAACACUUUCCUGAUUUAAACUGGCGGCGUCCCCCCCCCCCCCCCCCCUGCCUGAGGGGAGAGCGCGUCCGCACGGAUUGUGCAAACACCUGAUUUCAACGUUUUUACAAAAACGACAAAUGGCAUCGAACCCGCAACUCCGGCGUGACUGGUGAGGGAGGAGCUGCAGGGGGG